CGCCAGACUCCUACGGGAGGCAGCAGUGGGGGAUAUUGCACAAUGGGGGGAACCCUGAUGCAGCGACGCCGCGUGGGUGAAGGAGCGUUUCGGCGCGUAAAGCCCUAUCGGCAGGGAAGAAGGAGGACGGUACCUGACUAAGAAGCCCCGGCUAACUACGUGCCAGCAGCCGCGGUAAUACGUAGGGGGCAAGCGUUAUCCGGAUUCACUGGGUGUAAAGGGAGCGUAGACGGCGACGCAAGUCUGGAGUGAAAGCCCGGGGCCCAACCCCGGGACUGCUCUGGAAACUGCGUCACUGGAGUACGGGAGGGGCAGGCGGAAUUCCUGGUGUAGCGGUGAAAUGCGUAGAUAUCAGGAGGAACACCGGCGGCGAAGGCGGCCUGCUGGACCGCGACUGACGUUGAGGCUCGAAAGCGUGGGGAGCGAACAGGAUUAGAUACCCUCGUACC
rnacentral:rRNA from 1 species